AAGAAAAACUAAGCUGCUGCAAGAUGUGAAAAUAUAAAAAAAAUGAACUGGUGAAUUCCUUAAAGCCAUAGAUUACAUGAAGGAUGGAAACUGCCACCAUGACAGCGUAAUAUGGCUGUCACCAUGUUAGUUACUUUGACCAUAUGCUACCAUAAGUAGCACAGCACAUCAGAUGUGAUCCAGGAGACACUGAUAAGCUCCAGGUGCCCACAUCAGCACACCUGUUUAUCAACAUGGCCACACCCCUCCCUACAGACUCCAGCUGGAUGAGUUGUUAUGAAGGGGAAACGCUCCACGGAGACUGAGCCUGUUAUUGCAGCAGAAUGUAAAUACAAUUUUUAAUACCUGGCAAUGUUAAGCAUGGGCAUCCACGGGGAUCGACUCUCUUUUGGUAUCAGCUUCCAUCGGACAUUGAAUUUGGAAAGUCUGGAUUUAGACUUCAAGUGAAACGGCACCUAGCAGGAAACAAAUCACUGUUGAAGGACACACGGCGUGCUUUUGCUUUAUUCCGUUUAACAAAAAACAAUCUACAGUCACAGCUCAGAUCUGCACAGGUAAUGCAACAACCGCUUUUUCUUUAAUCAGACCACACAAGUCAAAUAAAAAUCUCCAGCUCAUUUAAAUAAAAUAAUUCAAGAUGCAUUCAUUUAGUCUUUUUUCCAAACUCAUGUUUAAAUGAAA